CUUGUGCUCCCUCCGUCCGAAAAUACUUGUCAUUGAAAUGGAUGUAUAUAGAUGUAUUUUAGUUCUAGACACAUCCAUUUUGAUGACAAGUAAUUCCGGACGGAGGGAGUACUUG
rnacentral:pre_miRNA from 1 species